UACGAGGGGGGCAAGCGUUGUUCGGAUUUAUUGGGCGUAAAGGGCGCGCAGGCGGUUGGGUAAGUUUGGAGUGACAGUGCUCGGCUUAACUGAGCAAGGCCUCUGAAAACUGCUUGACUUGAGGACCAGAGAGGGACAUAGAAUUCCGGGUGGAGUGGUGAAAUGCGUAGAUAUCCGGAGGAAUACCAAAGGCGAAGGCAGUGUCCUGGAGGGUUACUGACGCUGAGGCGCGAAAGCUAGGGGAGCGAACAG
rnacentral:rRNA from 1 species